UGAAAUGUUCUGAGCACCUCUAGAGUAUAGCAUGGUGACUGGAGAGUGAAUUGGGAGAAAGCACAUGUUGGGGCCACGCUGUUGAUAGCUGAAGCCAAAGAGUUAUAAGAACCUGGCUUCUUUGCAAAACUUUAUCCCUCCGAGUCCUUUACAUGGAGUAGCCUUUCCAUUUACUGCUGUGGGGACAAUAAAAAGAAUGGGAGACGCUGUAUAUACAGCCUUAAUACCUUACCUUAAAAUUCUUUACCUUUCCUCUAGUCCAGCUCACAUACUAGGGGGGUUACGCUUGCAUGUUCGGAUGCAUAUCUUGCAGUCCAAUUAGUCUGUAUAUAUUUGUAUUCAACAGAUGCCAAGGAAAAUAGAAAAGAAACUUCAUCUUCAUCCUACGAGGGACGAAGCAGCUCAUCUGAAGACAGGAGUUCCUCAGAGGUGGAAUCAGAGAGCAGCCUCCAGGAUGGGGUCACAGAACAGCCAGCUCCAGGCCCAGGUUCCAAAGUACUAGGAGGAAUUAGAAGAGAAAUUUCCACAUCAUUAGACACUUUAAGCCGGUAAGGAAGGACUCACUUCAAUUCCCAUUUGAACUUAGUGGAAUUAUUUGC
rnacentral:lncRNA from 1 species